rnacentral:tRNA from 1 species
GCAGAGAUGGCUUGGUGGGUAAAGUGCAUGGUUUUCAAGCAUGAGAACCUGAGUUCAGAUUCCUAGUGUUUGCA